UACGUAGGGUGCAAGCGUUGUCCGGAAUUAUUGGGCGUAAAGAGCUUGUAGGCGGUUUGUCGCGUCUGCUGUGAAAUUUCGGGGCUCAACCCCGAACUUGCAGUGGGUACGGGCAGACUAGAGUGUGGUAGGGGAGACUGGAAUUCCUGGUGUAGCGGUGAAAUGCGCAGAUAUCAGGAGGAACACCGGUGGCGAAGGCGGCAUCCUGGACCGGUAUUGACGCUGAGGCGCGAAAGCCAGGGGAGCAAACGGG
rnacentral:rRNA from 1 species